AACGAACGCUGGCGGCAUGCCUAACACAUGCAAGUCGAACGAGACCUUCGGGUCUAUUGGCGCACGGGUGCGUAACGCGUGGGAACCUUCCCUUAGGUUCGGAAUAACUCCCCGAAAGGGGUGCUAAUACCGGAUAAUGUCUUCGGACCAAAGAUUUAUCGCCUUUGGAUGGGCCCGCGUUGGAUUAGCUAGUUGGUAGGGUAAAAGCCUACUAAGGCGACGAUCCAUAGCUGGUCUGAGAGGAUGAUUAGCCACACUGGGACUGAGACACGGCCCAGACUCCUACGGGAGGCAGCAGUGGGGAAUAUUGGACAAUGGGCGAAAGCCUGAUCCAGCAAUGACGCGUGAGUGAUGAAGGCCUUAGGGUUGUAAAGCUCUUUUACCCGGGAUGAUAAUGACAGUACCGGGAGAAUAAGCUCCGGCUAACUCCGUG
rnacentral:rRNA from 1 species